rnacentral:rRNA from 1 species
AUUGAACGCUGGCGGCAUGCCUUACACAUGCAAGUCGAACGGUAACGGGCCUUCGGGUGCCGACGAGUGGCGAACGGGUGCGUAAUACAUCGGAACGUGCCCGCUCGUGGGGGAUAACGAGGCGAAAGCUUUGCUAAUACCGCAUACGAUCUACGGAUGAAAGCAGGGGACCGCAAGGCCUUGCGCGGACGGAGCGGCCGAUGGCAGAUUAGGUAGUUGGUGGGAUAAAAGCUUACCAAGCCGACGAUCUGUAGCUGGUCUGAGAGGAUGAUCAGCCACACUGGGACUGAGACACGGCCCAGACUCCUACGGGAGGCAGCAGUGGGGAAUUUUGGACAAUGGGCGCAAGCCUGAUCCAGCCAUGCCGCGUGCAGGAUGAAGGCCUUCGGGUUGUAAACUGCUUUUGUACGGAACGAAAAGCCUUCUUUUAAUACAGGAGGGUCAUGACGGUACCGUAAGAAUAAGCACCGGCUAACUACGUG